rnacentral:rRNA from 1 species
CAGUAGCCGCGGUAAUACGAAGGGGGCUAGCGUUGUUCGGAUUUACUGGGCGUAAAGCGCACGUAGGCGGAUUCUUAAGUCAGAGGUGAAAUCCCAAGGCUCAACCUUGGAACUGCCUUUGAUACUGGGGAUCUUGAGUUCGGGAGAGGUGAGUGGAACUGCGAGUGUAGAGGUGAAAUUCGUAGAUAUUCGCAAGAACACCAGUGGCGAAGGCGGCUCACUGGCCCGAUACUGACGCUGAGGUGCGAAAGCGUGGGGAGCAAACAGGAUUAGAUACCCGAGUAGUCCCUGUCUCUUAUAA